UUUGUGUUUUUCUUUUUCUUUUGGUUUUUUAAGAUAGGGUUUCUCUGUGUAACCUUGGCUGUCCUGGACUUGCUUUGCAGACCAGGCUGGCCUCAAAUUCUGCCUCUGCCUCCUCAAGUGCUGGGAUUACAGGUAUGCACCACUGUGACCAGCUUCUCUGAGUUUUCUAUGACUUGUAGCUAAAGAAAUUUUGCUGAUUGAUUUAUUUGAUAUAGAGUCUUGAUAUGUUGGCCAGAGUUGGCAGACUGCUGAUUCAGCUCUCCAAAUUGGUGGGGAUAUUUGAAAUCAUUUCUACGUACACUUACAAUUCUAGGCACACUGAAGAGCUGGAAGAGUACAAGUUUCUAAGACACUGACCUUGAUGCCAGGCCCAUCUAUGGAUUUUUAAUCCUUACAACCACCCCACCAGUAGUUAUAUGAAUUUAUGAAGAAACCAAGGCUUUAAGAGUUUAGUAAUGCUCCCAAAUUAUCCACAUAGCAGUAGCCAUCUUGGGACCCAGAGCCUGGCCUGUCUGUAGUCAGAGAAAGUGAUGUUAUCACUGAAUUGGAACAUCACUAGCUCUAAGUGCAGUUAACUCUAGAACACUUUACGAAAAAUGGUUUUAAAAAAAUAAUGUUUUUUUUCUUCACAAAUUAUUCAUUAUAUAUGCUGACUGAAGCUCCCUCUCUCAACUCUCCCCAGUCCCACCCUUCCUCCCCUUUUCCCUACCCCUUUCCCCUAGUCCACUGAAAGGGGGAGGUGUUCUAACCUGCCAUCUGCCCAUAGCUUGUUAAAUUCAUCAGGACUGCUUGGAUCCUCUUUCUCCUUGGCUUGGCAAGGCUGCAUCACCAGUGAUGAAAGAACAGUCAACUGAGUUCAUGAUAGAGGCAGCCCCUGCUCUCCUCCCUCGGAGAUCCACAUGGAGACUGAGCUGCUAAUUGGCCACAUCUGAGCAUGGGGUCUAGGUCCUCUCCAUGCAUGGUCCUUCAUUGGUGCAUCAGUCUCUGCAGGACCCUCUGGGCUCAGAUCCUUUAGCUUUGUUGGUCUCCUUGUGGUGGUUUUUUAUUAGAUUAUUUUGUGUGUAUGAUUGUUCUGCCUGCAUGUAUGAAUGUACACUACUUACAUGCUUGGUGCCCUUGGAGGUCAGAAUAGGGCAUUGGGUAUUCUAGAACUGGAGUUACAGAUGUUUGUGAGCCACCAAACUGGGUGCUGGGACCAAACCCCAUAUCCUCUGCGAGAGCAGCCAGUGCCUUUAACAACAUAGGCAUCUCUUCAGCCCUGUUGUUCUUAUUCAAAUAGAGAAAUUUAAAAGAAAAGAAAAGAAAAGAAUCCAGAGAAACCGAUAAAUCAACCCUGGGGUUUGACACUUUGCUAGGAAUGUAAUUAAACGUCCAGAUUUGGGUACUUCCCAGGGACACUCCUCUAGUCACACACACAUAUCAGAAAUAAGCCUGAAAGAACUACCACAGUUGUUCUGGGAUUGUCAUCAGUUAGCUCUGUGACCGAUGCCCCAGAUAAGGUACCUGCCAGUCUGCCAUCUGAGAGUAGUACCAUGCAGAAUGAGGCUCAGUAGGAGCUACUGCAGAGAACCUUCUUGUGUCUAAUAAAAGGAUUUUGUGUGUCAUUUUUAUUAGCUGGUCUUUUCUCCUCUCACUCAUGGCCAAGUGUGGCUUCUCAGGAUCUUCAAAAAUAAAAUAUAAAAAUAAAACUUGGAGCUUAAGUAGAGAAUGAGGCCAGCCCUUUUCUGCGGUGUCGUUCUAUUUACAGCAACUGCCACCAUCAGGGAAGUUUCCUUGAGGGCUUGUCCAGCUAUCUGAGUCAUGUGGGCUGGGGCCCUUUCCCUUUGUGCGCUGGCACAGUCAGUGCAUGUAUUUCUUCAGUGUGCAGGCUGUGAGGCUGCUGCCCAGAGAGGGCAAGGAUUCCUGCAAGGAAAAAAGAAGGCUUUGAGGUCUCACCUGCCACAAUGACAGACAGAAGCCCUUUUGAGACAGACAUGCUCACAUUGACUCGCUAUGUUAUGGAAAAGGGGCGACAGGCCAAAGGAACUGGGGAGCUCACACAGCUGCUCAACUCCAUGCUGACUGCUAUCAAAGCCAUCUCCUCUGCUGUGCGCAAGGCCGGCCUGGCCAACCUGUAUGGGAUUGCGGGAAGCGUGAAUGUGACAGGAGAUGAGGUAAAGAAACUGGACGUGCUAUCCAAUUCCCUGGUCAUCAACAUGCUUCAGUCUUCCUACAGCACCUGUGUCCUAGUCUCUGAAGAGAAUAAAGAGGCCAUAAUCACAGCCAAGGAGAGAAGGGGGAAGUAUGUGGUUUGCUUUGACCCACUGGACGGAUCUUCAAACAUUGACUGUCUGGCCUCUAUUGGAACUAUAUUUGCUAUCUACAGAAAGACCACAGAAGAUGAGCCUUCUGAGAAGGAUGCCCUGCAGCCUGGCAGUAAUAUUGUGGCUGCGGGUUAUGCCCUCUAUGGCAGUGCAACCCUGGUGGCCCUUUCUACGGGGCAAGGAGUGGAUCUCUUCAUGCUGGAUCCAGCACUUGGAGAAUUUGUGCUGGUGGAAAAAGAUAUCCGGAUUAAGAAGAAAGGGAAAAUUUUUAGCCUUAAUGAGGGCUAUGCCAAGUAUUUUGAUGCUGCCACUGCAGAGUAUGUACAGAAAAAGAAAUUCCCUGAGGUAAGUGAAGACAGCCUGGGCUGGCAUCAGGGAGAAGGCUGUCUCAGAGGCUAUGGUGUGAAUGACUCCUUUGUUUCUUUUUCUUUUUACAUUUUAAUUUUUAUUGAUUACAAUUUAUUCACUUUGUAUCUCUCCUGUAGCUCCUUCCCUCCUCCCCUGCAAAUCCCACCAUCCUUCCCCCUUCUCCACCCAUGCCCCUUCCCCAGUCCACUGUUUUUUUUUAAAGGGGUGGAUGCCACUGUUUACAACUCUCGUCUUCAUGGGUUUGAUGGACUCUGCUCUUCUUCAUAACUGAUCCAUCUUCUUUGAACCUAAAAGUUACAUAUUAAAAUGAAUACCCCCAAUUAAGUACCUCUAGGAAUUUGUAAGAAGCCACAUUUUCAGAAUUCAUAACUUUAGCAAGAAGCACUCUCAGGUUAUCUGUUUGUUAAGCUGAAAUCUAUAGAUUCUGAAGACCUGCUUACCUCUGCUUUAAGAUAGCAUAUGGUCACAUCUGAGAGUCCAGUUUGCAAGCUGUCAUAUCAAGGUCUUGCAGUUAACUGUGGGCAAUCCUUUGUUAUCAUUAUUGUUUGUGAUGCUGGGGCUCCAACUCAGGUUCUUGCAAAUAGUCUGCAAAAGCACUGAGAGGCUGAGCUGUACCCCCCACAGCUCCCCACAGUAUAGAGGGGAAUGGUGAGAAAAAUGUCCACCUGCUUGACACACACAAUCUCUCUCUCCUCUCUGUGUUUACAGAGGUGUGUGUGUGUGUGUGUGUGUGUGUGUGUGUGUGUUUAGACUAGGAGAUACCUUGGACACCAUUCCCUGAGCUAGUUAACAGUCUAGAGCUUGUUAAGUAGGCCAGGAUGGCUGGCCAUUAAGCCCCAGGAAUCUAUGCAUCUUCACCUCCCCAGCACCAGGAUUACAAACAUGUAUCCCUAUACCCCACUUUUAUGUGGGGUUUGGGCAUUGAAUGUCUGUUCUUUAAUAAUUUCUUUAGUUCUUUAAUAAUUCUUUAAAUGGUUAUUUUUAUUUUAUGUUUAUGGAUGUUUUAUCUGCAUGUGUGUCUGUUUAUCACUUGCAUGCCUUGGGCCAAUGGAGGACAAAAAAGGAUAUUGGAUCUCCUGGAACUGGAGUUGCAGACAGUUGAUGGCAGUGCUCCUUAUGGGGCCAGGUAUGUGGGUUCCAUGGUGGCUGAUGUGCAUCGCACCCUGGUCUAUGGAGGAAUCUUCAUGUACCCAGCCAACCAG